AAGCAAGAGAGGAGACAUUGUUGGAAGGGGCAGCCGAGGAGAGGCAGUUGAGGAUCGGGGGAGGCUCCUUUUCAGCUCUGGUCACAUGACACAGCCGAGGGGAGGACUUCUUACUCUGAACUGCCAUUUUAUCUGAGAAACUCGCAUUGAUCACAUGACCACAGUAAUGAAGAUGGAGGAGGACCGGCGUCGCAUGACUGAGACGAUACUAAACUUCACCCUGGAGAUCAUCUACCUGCUGAUCGGAGAGAGAUUUUCUAUUGUGAAGUCAGGUGAUCAUAUGACCAUCACAGUGC